rnacentral:misc_RNA from 1 species
AGCAGCCGCGGUAAUUCCAGCUCCAAUAGCGUAUAUUAAAGUUGUUGCAGUUAAAAAGCUCGUAGUUGAAUUUCGGGAUCAGUUGGUCGGUCGUGCCUCGGUACGUACUGGUCAAAUUGAUUCCUACCUUCUGACGAACCACGAUGUCAUUAAUUUGGUGUCGCGGGAAAUCAGGACUGUUACUUUGAAAAAAUUAGAGUGUUUAAAGCAGGCUCGCGCUUGAAUACAUUAGCAUGGAAUAAUGAAAUAGGACGUUUGAUUCUAUUUUGUUGGUUUCUAGGAUCGACGUAAUGAUUAAUAGGGAUAGUUGGGGGCAUUAGUAUUCAAUUGUCAGAGGUGAAAUUCUUGGAUUUAUUGAAGACUAACUACUGCGAAAGCAUUUGCCAAGGAUGUUUUCAUUAAUCAAGAACGAAAGUUAGGGGAUCGAAGACGAUCAGAUACCGUCGUAGUCUUAACCAUAAACUAUGCCGACUGGGGAUCGGAUGAUGUUAAUUUUUUAAUGACUCAUUCGGCGCCUUAC